rnacentral:rRNA from 1 species
UACGGGGGGGGCAAGCGUUGUUCGGAAUUACUGGGCGUAAAGGGCUCGUAGGCGGCCAACUAAGUCAGACGUGAAAUCCCUUGGCUUAACCGGGGAACUGCGUCUGAUACUGGAUGGCUUGAGUUUGGGAGAGGGAUGCGGAAUUCCAGGUGUAGCGGUGAAAUGCGUAGAUAUCUGGAGGAACACCGGUGGCGAAGGCGGCAUCCUGGACCAACACUGACGCUGAGUGAGCGAAAGCCAGGGGAGCAAACGGG